rnacentral:snRNA from 22 species
AUCCUAGUGCUAGGGCGUUUUGUGUGCAAGUGAAGACUCGUCUGAUGCCACAAUUUUGCUAGUUGGUGCGUACAUUCCCUGUCCUAAUCGCCCUGAUCAUCGCUGACUUCUUCGCAGAAAACUAUCAACUGACUGCUCCUGUUGGCUUCGUGUCGGCAGGGAAUUUUUGGCAACACAAACACCUUUUUCAUCAGUUUUUCGUUGCACUGCG